CGACUCUCGAUAACUUUGGGCCGAUCGCACGGUCUAGCACCGGCGACGUAUCUUUNAAGUGUNUGCCUUAUCAACUUUCGAUGGUAGGUUAUGCGCCUACNAUGGUCGUUACGGGUAA
rnacentral:rRNA from 1 species